rnacentral:lncRNA from 1 species
AUGGUUACAGACGGCAACAGUUCGUUCUUUCUUUCUUCAAUCCCCCACCGAACAGAUCUGCCCGACUCCUCUAUCCCGCUCAACUCCCAUUCAGCACAGAGCCAAAAUCUAGCCGCCGACGGCCAUGGACGACCCGUCAGGAGCUCCAACGACGAGGUGACCUCUCAAACAGUGAUAUCCGACAACUAUGUUCUACGCACUCCCAUGGCCCGCCCUGCCCCCACCAGUAACUAGGGUCGAUCUCCCUGGGCCACAGGCGGCUGACAGCGCCAAGGUAAAUGGCUGCAAUACGCGGUAGUGAAUUAAUAGGAUUAUAAUUUGGCCAAUUGAGGCUAGCUGUAGUUUGAUAGUUGGUGAUACUGCACACUGACAAACAAACGAACAAACCAAUAAGUCAUUGCAGGUAUUGUUAUUAAGAAAAUUACUGGAAUGGUAUGUCUAGAUUAAUGUUGGCAGGAAGAAAAAAACUUGGCUGAAUUCAGGAUUUGUUUGGUUGCUGAUUAAUUAGUAUCGUUCUCCAAUAAUAAUGUCAUAACUUAUUUUUUCAGUAUGUACGGUAAUUUUGUAUAAAAGAUUUGGGCUGCAUCAAUUAGCUCCUCACCCUGAGACUACAUCUUUCAUGAGCUGGUGGAUGAUGUAAAUGAAGUCGCAGCUCCUCUUAUAAGGGUUUGGACUCUCUAAUUGCUUUGGGUGCUUGGACUAUAUGGAAUCAUAGGACAUGAAUAAGUGUGUUUUUUAUGGCCUCAGCCCCAGUUUGGACCUGGUCCUUCAGCAAGCUGGUGAAGAUUGCAAGUUCUGGGAGAUGGCUGGUGCCAGGGGGCAUUCGCUGCUCUCUGCAGCGGCACAAGUGUUAAGUGUUGUAUCCUAGUCGGUUGUAGUAGGCAUUUGAUCCUGGAUCUGUUUAUGUUUCUAUGUUUUUUGCCUCUUAAUGAGGUGUUGUACCUUUCAUAUACUGGUCUAUUUUGGACCGUUCUUUUUAAUAUAAUGAUGCGCAGCUCUCCUGCGCGUUCGAGAA